CGGAUAAGGAAAGAUGACGUGGACUAUAUACCAAGUGAACCCCCUGAUUCCGACUUGUCAGCAGAGGGCUCUGAUGAUUGUUAUGAUGACAGUGGAAAAAAAUUAGAAAAAAAACUAAUAAUGAAAUAAGAGGGUAUCCAUUUAAAUGUGAAAAGUGCAACUAUGAGGUUACGUCGGCAAUAAACAUUGACAUCACUACUUGAUAGCACAUUCUUAUAAAGAAUAUCCAUAUCAUCAGGAGAAGGAAUUUAUUUGUCAUAUCUGUGGCAUUACUAAAACUGUGAAGAUGAAAUGGUAACCCUGCCUACGCUAUCGGUACACGCUGACGAGGUACCUGUAAGUGAUGAUACGUGAAGAUGAAUCUAGAAUAUAACUUACCUCAAAACCCACAUUGAAACUCACGGCAAAAGAAAUUAUGAGUGUGAUAUUUGUCAUAAGAAGUUUUAUACAAAGUCUCGAAUACAGCAUCAUUUGGUCUUGGUGCAUGGCACUGAAAAGUUAAUAUGUGACUAUUGUUCGAAGAGAUUUUCUUCAAGAAUAGAUAUUAUACGACAUAUAAGGGUUCACACUGGAGAAAAGCCGUUCAAAUGCCACAUCUGUGGCGCUGGUUUCGCUCACAAAGGCAACAUCGGUAUUCACAUUAGGACCAAACAUCAAAACUAUCCAAUUGAGAAUAAAAAGAAAACAAAAAAUAAGACUAUUCAGCGACGCAAUGGUGAAAAACGAAGAGGCAGGAGGAACAAGUAGAAACAUAAUUCAUCAGAUAAAGUUGUUAAAGGCUGAAGUUAUUAAAUUAGAUAUAUGGUUGCCGACUUUUUUUGUAAUAUUUAUAAGUUAAAAUUAAUAAAUAUUUUUGCU
rnacentral:misc_RNA from 1 species